rnacentral:rRNA from 1 species
AGGGUUUGAUCCUGGCUCAGAGCGAACGCUGGCGGCGUGCCUAACACAUGCAAGUCGAACGCGCACUUCGGUGCGAGUGGCGAAAGGGUGAGUAAUGCACAGAUAAUCUACCCUCGGGACGGGGAUAACACUGGGAAACUGGUGCUAAUACCCGAUGUGACCACACUGGCGCAUGACAGAGUGGUAAAAUGAAUUUUGCCCGAGGAGGAAUCUGUGUCCUAUCAGCUAGUUGGUGAGGUUACGGCUCACCAAGGCUAAGACGGGUAGCAGGCCUGAGAGGGUGGUCUGCCACACUGGGACUGAGACACUGCCCAGACUCCUACGGGAGGCUGCAGUGGGGAAUUUUGGGCAAUGGGCGAAAGCCUGACCCAGCGACGCCGCGUGAAUGAAGAAGGCCUUCGGGUUGUAAAGUUCUGUCACGGGAGAAGAAAUGUGCCUUCGGGCAUUUGACCAUCCCGAGAGGAAGCUCUGGCUAAACACGUGCCAGCAGCCGCGGUAAUACGUGUAGAGCUAGCGUUGCUCGGAUUUACUGGGCUUAAAGGGUGUGUAGGCGGUUUUGUAAGUAAGGUGUGAAAUCCAACGGCUCACCCGUUGAACUGCAUCUUAUACUGCAUAACUCGAGGGUCGGAGAGGAUAGCGGAAUUCUGGGUGUAGCGGUGAAAUGCGUAGAUAUCCAGGAGAACGCCGGUGACGAAGGUGGCUAUCUGGCCGACAUCUGACGCUGAAACACGAAAGCCAGGGGAUCAAACGGGAUUAGAUACCCCGGUAGUCCUGGCCCUAAACGAUGUGCACUUGGUGGUGGGAUCUUCGGGUCUCGCUGCCGUAGCGAAAGCGUUAAGUGCACCGCCUGGGGAGUACGGUCGCAAGACUAAAACUCAAAGGAAUUGACGGGGGCUUACACAAGCGGUGGAGCAUGUUGUUCAAUUCGAUCCUACGCGAAGAACCUUACCCGGGUUUGACAUGCACGUGGUAGUGAACUGAAAAGGGAUCCACCCUGUUUUACAGGGAGCGUGCACAGGUGCUGCAUGGCUGUCGUCAGCUCGUGUCGUGAGAUGUCGGGUUAAGUCCCUUAACGAGCGCAACCCUUGCUCUUAGUUGCCAGCGGAUAAUGCCGGGGACUCUAAGAGGACUGCCGGCGUCAAGUCGGAGGAAGGUGGGGACGACGUCAAGUCAUCAUGGCCCUUACGCCCGGGGCGACAAACGUGCUACAAUGGCGAGUACAAAGGGAAGCAAGUCCGCGAGGCCAAGCAAACCCCAAAAAGCUCGCCCCAGUUCGGAUUGGAGGCUGAAACCCGCCUCCAUGAAGUUGGAAUCGCUAGUAAUCGCGGAUCAGCCAUGCCGCGGUGAAUGUGUUCCUAAGCCUUGUACACACCGCCCGUCAAGCCACGAAAGUCGGGAGCGCCUGAAGUCGCUAUCCUAACCGCAAGGAGGGAGGCGCCCACGGCGAGACCGGCGAUUGGGACUAAGUCGGAACAAGGUA